rnacentral:lncRNA from 1 species
GAGAGAGAAAAAAGUUUUAGCUUGGAAAGAAAGAAAAGAAAAGAGAAAUGCAAGAAGUGUGAUUCUCUGAAUGGUACAGUGUCCUUCUUAUAGCAAAAAGACAGCUGGUGAUCUGAUCAAAAACACUAAAGUGAUGAUUGAUAUUUUGCCUCGUGAUGUGUAAUGAAUACACCGCCAUUAUUUGUGUGGAUAUGAUUUAGUUAUUUCUGUAUGUUGUUUAUUCUGUAAGAUGUAAGAGUACACGAUAGAAGAAAUUUGAAUUUUGUCCGUAUGUAUGUUAAAUCGUGGCCGUGAAAAAGUUUCUCUGAUUUUACACCAAAGAACCAAUCCAUGAACAAAUGUUCAGCCAAUGAGAUUAUAGUACGUGACUACGUGUCAGAGUCCAACCUUGGUCAAAGAUGUAUUGGGAAAGAAAGAGGUCAAUGAUGUAGGUCAAUCUUAGUCAAAAUAAAAAAAAAGUUACACAAAGGCUAAAAAGUAAAAACAUUGCAAACAAAGAACAAACAGGUUUUUCAUGGACGAUUACAUAUUGAACAAAGAACAUACUGUACAUUGAUGAUCUGAUAUUUCACUUCUCUAGUUGAUUUUUCCGCUGUCGGGUUUUCAUAAUACCAAAAAUUGUAUAGCUUUAUCAUGUAUGGCAAAAAUAAUUAAACUUAAGUUGUGGUGUGGAGUAUUUAGUAGAGAGUAGUUUAGAUGCAACGAAAGCAUUAGCGGCUUCGGUAUAAUGAACACCAUCCCAGCUUAUGUAAUGUGAUCCUUCCUUGCAGACAUUACAGCCAGUUGUGCCACAAGUCAAGCUAGCAUUGUAGUUGUAUGGCGGUCCACCACUUCCACAGCAUGCCAUUAGUGAUUUCUGAAAACCUGUCGAAAAGUUUUGUAGACAAUCAGUACUCAAACUCGCAAACGAAAUUGAACUGUAUAUUAGUAGUUGAGAAACAUACCGUAUUUUGUGAAGUUUGCAAUAAGAUCAUACUUGAUGGUAUAUAUAUCUGUGUAAACAAUGGUUGCAUUCUUCAAUUCAGAUCUCAUUUCAUCGCAUAAGUCGAAUAAUCCUUUGUUAAACACCUUGGCAGCAUUGUUAAGAGAUAGAAUGCAUCCAUGUUGAUCAAUAUCACUUGCAUUUUUGUUAGAUAUAGCUAGUUUCUGAGGUAAACAACCCAAGGGCCCAGUACUAUGUACCCAGAAAUUCUUCCCACCAUGUUGAUAUAGAUUCUGUCAAAGAAUGAAAUGGAAUUGAAGUUUAUACAAAGAAACUAACAACCAACUUACCAUGCAUGCAUGACCAUCGAUGAUAAUGUUUGGGAAAGAAAGCUCACCAAUAUUGCAUACUUGAUUUCUGUAAGAAAAGAAGGUAUUUUCUUAAUGACUUUCUCAUAAGACAAUUUUGAUGAAAAUGCACCAGCAAUAUCAUUCUGACCAAUAUCAAUUGUGUAAAUUGCGUUUCGAAAUCCUUGCUCAUUGAUCAGAUUUCUCGUACCUAAGUGGAAUCAGAUAACUUCAUUUAAUUCAUGAAAAAACCGACAAUUAUUAGACCACUUAAGAGUAAAAUAAAAUUACCAUGUGAUAUAAGUUGGAGUGCGCGAGAUUUGAACCUGAGAAACUGAAGAACUUGAACGUUUAAGGAAAAAGGAACAUAUUCAGGUAGAGUGCAUGAACCACUUAUUGCAAAAUUUGCACCAUUUCUGAAAUUUGGAGCCAAGGAUUCCAAAUAUGGUGUCAAGUAGCUUGUAUUCAAACUUUGGCCUGUCAUAAAUUCACCAUGUGUACAUGUAAACAAUUGGGAUGCACGAUUAUUAUUAUAAUUCAACAUAAAUUAAUAAUCCAACCAUUAGAAACAAUUUGCUUUCAUUUUCGGUUUUUAUUUUGUAUUCCUAAUCAUAUAUCAAGAUCAUGGUAAGGUAAACCUUUCACAAAUGACAAAUCUCAAGUCAUUUUGAUUAAAUUAAUCUGCAUUAACUUUUACUAAUAGAAAACCAUUGAAGCCCCCAAAAGAUUAACAAAAGCCCUCAAACUCUAAUUGGGUCAGAUUUGUCUCAUUUAGAAGUCUGGCCUGUCCAACAAACGCCCAAGACCUCAUUCCUUAUUUGGCCCAUUUUAUAAUGGGUAAAGAUCAGAUUACUGGGUUUUGCCCAUUAUUCAGAUUCAGAUACACAAAAAAUAAACAGACCAUGAGGCCAACAGCAGUACAGCAGAAAAUGCAAAAAUCUUAUCAAUGUUCUUCUAAUAUUGGCCGGAUAUGAAUCGAAGACAAAGAAUGAGUCCUACGUCCCAUUUAGCCCACCCUACUUAUGAAUUAGUCCUGUUUGACUUUGGCUUUAAUGAUUAGUCCCACUUUCUAAUAUUAUUUAAUCUUACAUCUUUUUUCUUUGAAAAAGUUAUUAACUAAUCCUUGACUCAAUUUAUCCCACUAAAAUUUUCAAAUUUUAUAUUUUUAAAUGACAAUACUACCCUUUUAAAUUGUUUUUAACCAUUUCUUCAUUUAAUUAUACAAUUCUAAAAAAUUACUAACUAUUUAAGGCCCUAUUUAACUAUGUAAUUCCAAAAAAUUGCUAAUCAUUAACACUUGCAAUUCUCAAAAGUUGAUAACUAUUUAACUAUGCAAUUCUAAAUAAUUGCUAAUCAUUGACACUUGUAAUUGCUACUUGGAUUGCGUAACUAAUUUAAGUCCACUAGGGUUAACUACACUCAUACAUAGGUUAUAUUUAAUUAUUGACAUGUGGUGUUUUGUGAUUGGGUGUCUAUAAAUUAGUUGGGUAAUUAAUUCAAAUUCAUUAGGGUUAAUUACACCCAUACAUAGGUUAUAGUUUUUAUUAAAACAUACAAAUUUUCUUUGCAAUUCUAAAAAAUUGCUAACUUUAUGUGCAUUUCUAAAAAUUUGUUAAUGUCUUAUUUAUAUGUGCAAUUCUAAGAAUUGCUAACUUUUAAUUAUGUAAUUCUAAAAAAUUAUAAUAGCAAUUCCACUAAAUUGCACCACUAAUAUGCGGUUUCAAUUUUUGAUAGCAAUUCUUGACAGCAAUUCCACUUGUUACACUACCACUAACUUGGCGGUUUCCAAUUCUAAUAGCAAUUUCAAACUUUAAAUACUAGUAGUAGAGGGUAUUAUUGUAAACUAACUUUUGGUCAAAAAAACAGGACUAAUCAUUAAUGUGAUAGUUUGACGGGACUAAUUGAUAAUGUCCAUUGCAAUUUGGGAUGGCUAAUUUAAUCACUGGAAUCGAAGACCCUACAUUUUUUUUCUUUCCAUUAUUUUGUGAAAUAUUUCACGAAACUACCGCGAUAUAUAUAAAGAAAAAGAAGACAGUGCUCUAAUGUCAAAAAGAAUUCCAGGAUUUGUAUUGAUACAACACCAUCACCUUACUCUACUCAAAAUGUAUGGAACAUAAUAUUAUAGAACCGUGAUACGGUGGAGACCGACAUUAGGGGAAGAGAAGAAGAGAGGAAGAGAAAAGAAGAGAGAUUUCAAAAAAACAAAAAAAGACAGACAGAUAAAAAUUAAAAAUGAAAAAAAAGGGACAGACACAAGUUUGAGUUCCACCGGACUCUAAAAGGACCUCCUAACGUCGGUCGAUAAAACAAAGCCAAAAAAUUAAAUAGAUGGUAUGUUUGAUUGGUCGUGGGAAAAAUUCCCACAUCAAACAUUACCCCCAAAAUUCCCAGAUGCUUGUUUGAUUGGUAAAGUUGGGCCGUGUAAAAAUUCCAUGAUAAAAAUAUUUCUCACCAAUCUUUCCUUGACCCACCCCUAAAAAAAAUUCCCUGAGUUGUUGGGAAUAUUUUUUUGCCUAAUCAAACAACCAAAAUCUUUUCCACAUAAAAUUUUCCCCCAUUUUUUAUGUCCAAUCAAACAACCUAUUAGUGGGAAUUAUUUUAUGUGGGAAUAUUUUUAACUAUAAAAAUUCCCACGAGUAAUUAUUCCCACCAAUCAAACACACCCAGAAAAAAUCUAUAAAUGAUCAGAUAGAGAUUCCCCAAAAAAAAACUUUAAUGAUACAAUCAAUCACCAAAUUAAAUAUCAGAGAAAACAAAAAUUUGGACGGUGAAAUUUAAGUAAGAACAUGUGAAUCAGUAGGCUAAUUAUUUGGCUUAUUCACAAUUUCACAACCAACGGUAACACCAAUGAUCUAAGAUGUCCAUGCUGCUUUGAGAAUUGAGAAUUGAGAUACACACCUAGUGUAAGUGAUACACAUUAGUGAGUAACUGAGUAUCUCAAACCAGCAUGAACAUAUUGAUGAUGAGUUUUACCAGUGAUGCAAGAACAUAUAGCGAGAGUGGUAAUAUGAUCAACUUACAAAGAAAAUCGAUCACCAACCGUCCAUCAGAUAAUCGACCAGAUGGUUGAUGGAAGAAUAUACGACCAUUGGGUGGGCUAAAGAUGAUACCAGUACCAGAGGAAAAGCCACCAGUAUCAGAAUUGGAAUCACCAAAGUUGAAGAUAACAGGAUUACUGUUGCAUUGAGAAGUAACUAAUACAGGAAACAAAACAAGAAGAAAAUAUGGGAGAUACUGAUCAAGCCUAAGAGAUUGUGUGUGCCUUUUCUUCUCUCCCAUCUCUUUUGUACUAAAUGUUAUGUUCAGAUUCAGAAUUAGUUUGCGAUAUAAAUGACAGUAGAAACAAGAAGACAAAGAAACAUAUGUUAUAGGCCCCAUGUGUUAAGGGGAUGGAAAUGUGAAUGCUUGCAUGAUUAUCUCUGUUAUAAUAGCUGUUGCCUGUUGGUAUCCAUAUACAGUAUGAGGUAAAAAAUUAUUAAGGUGCAUUUAAUUGGAGAUUGCAGCAAAUAUAAGGAUUUUUAGCUCUAUGAAGUAUGAUUUGCAAGUGAUCAACUUUGAUCUUUUGGAACAUACAACACACAUUGAGCAAAAAAAAAAAAAUUGAUAUCUGUCCCCUGAGGAAAAGGAUUCAUAACUUUCCUGCAAAGAAAUGAAAAAUACAUUUUGCUAAUUGCCACAGAUGAAAAUGGAAACACAGAUCCUAUCAUCCCUCUUACAUUGCUCCUUUACUCAUAACAUCUGGCUUUCCACUAGAUGGUCAUAAUAUGAUCACAAUACAGUACACUCUUAGAGUGUUAGACAAUCACCAUCAGGCACAAAAUAUCAGCAAUUUACAUGGACCGCUUUGUUUACAAGUCUUUCUCAACAACACAACUUUUUCCCCAUCACAGUUUCAUUUUGAAGAUUGAGACCCCAAACAUCACAAAACCCAACCUCCAUAGAAGUUUUAUAAUAUCUGGUGAACGGUUGGAUUGGAGCCACCAAUCAUCAAAAGCUUAUAUCCAAUAUUAAAAUGAAAAUGCUACGUGCCACAAAGUUGAGAUCUCUAAACAUAGUUUGAAUUUGUUUUAAUGCCUUCAACACAUUUUUUUUUUUUUUAAUGGAAAUCUAACUUUUAUUAAUUAACAAACCUGUCACAGCUACACACAUGAGGUCCUUACAAAAUUUACAAACAAAAACUGUGGCAUUGAAUGCCUUCAACACUUGAAAUGGCCAAGAUUAUAAGCUACUUUCCCCCAAGAGUUAGCAGAAAUGUACAGUGAAAGCUAGCUAAAGGCACACCUUAUAAAUGCACAUCAUCCAUUAACACACAGAAAAUAUCGGUCCAUAGUUGGAACAAUACAUAUAUUUUUCACUUUAGUACCAAAAAACAUUAUAGGAGAAUGGUAAACCCCUGCUGAUAACACAUAACUACUGGAAUAGCCCCAUGUUUACAAUACAAUAUUUGCAUUAGAUGGUUUAAACUUGAAUCCAAGUGUCUGAAGCUCAUAUAACAAAGUUGUGAAUUAAGCAUAUACCGUGCCUAUAUAUACACACACACCCAUCAGCAACACACUGGAGCAACAUAGGCCUUCUACACAUUCAUGAUCCAUAUACACAAUGCUAUCAAAAUCGCUGGCAAGGAGCACCACGGCACCAAGUACCACUAAGUCGCCCCAAUGCCAAGACACACCAAGCUUUUGUCAUCCCUUGUUACAGGUGUCACCGAGGCACCAGAAGUGAAGCCUUGCCUGUGCCUUGACAGCAUAGGAUAUACUUCACACAUGUCUCCAAUGCAUAAUGUGAACAAUGGCCUCUUUUAAACCCAGACAAAGCUUAACAUGCAAAAACUAUCAGAAAUUUGUCUUCUGAAGAUAUUUGUAUUUUUUGGUGUAUUGUACUAAACAAAAAAAAAAGUAGAGAGUAUCGAUGCUGGUAUUAUCCCUCAAAAAAAAAAAGUCCAACAGAAAUUCUAAUUAAAUCUCAGUAACCCCCAAUGAGUUAUAUUAAUGUUUCGGUCAAGUUUAAAAGGUAUAUUCCAUGUCCAACCAAAGAAUAAUGACUGCAGCAACAACUCAUGAAAAAUGCACAACUGCAUGGAAUACUAGUUUAUGGUAUCCAAAAGAUCACAAUGAACUCACCAUUGCUUUGGAUGCUGCAAUUCCAAAAUAACAAUAAGAGCAGCACCUUAUCAUGAAGUUCCCUGCCAAGCAUCCUUCCAUGUUUGAAAAAAGCAGCGGAGACACCAGCUAUCCUGCCAGAUUUCUUUUCGAGUGAUCAACACCUGUUAUUAACCAACAACCAACACAAAAUAGCAAGUAACCACGACUAAUGAGUUACAAUAAUCAUAUGGUAAUGACAUUUAUAAGCUAGUAGGCAAUAGCUCAUAAGAGAAACCUUGUCAUGGAACGUCCACACUGCUUUCUCUUCAAUCCAAAAGCUAUCGCAAGCCAACAUAAAGGUAGAAGAAGGUUGAGUCACUGUCAGCACAAGAAGAAAUCCAACAAAAAAAAAAAGCACAAGAACAGCAAAAUAUAGGUCGUCUACCACCAUCUAAGUAACAACAACAGGAACACAAUCCAUAGCACAUUAACUUUACUAACAGGCAAUUUAUCAAUAGAUUAAAAUAGUAAUAACAUUAUUAGUUGAAGUACGCAUAGAACGACGAAAAUCAACUAUUUGAACAAAGAAAUAAUCAAUUAUGUAAACCAAGAUACGAACAUCCAAAUGAAACACAUAAAAUCUAACUGAAUAAAAGGAAAGAAGCAAUGUAAAACAAAAUACCAAUAUAAAUGAAACACAUAAACAAUUAACUUUUUUUUGUAUUAUGGAUCUCUUGAUAAAGGAAAAAUAAAUAAAAGGGAAAUUUUACAACUCGUAACUUCCCAACUAAGCAUCACAAACAUAAAGAAUCCCCAUCAUCUUAAUCCAUCCCUCCUGACCAAAACAUUUUGGAGAACAUCCUUAGUAGAAUCCUCCAUUGCAGCAAAAUGGAAAACAAUUAGAAAAAGAAAAAACCUCAAGACAUAUCUGAUCACCUAAGGCUAUAACCAGGUAACAGAAGUAUGGUACAGUUGGGUUACAAAAGAAAGGAACAAAAAACAUUCCAAAGCCCACAACCAUCCAACUAAGAAGUAAAUGGUUUUCUGCAAUGUAAAAUUCAAUUAUCUUUCAGCAUCAGAUUCCUCCAGAGUUAUCAAAAUUAAAUGCCAUCUUUGGAGGAAGUUUCUGUGCUUGGCUUAUCAAGUGCCAGUCCUUUAGGAACAAUGGGAAUGGACCCCACUGUUAAGAUUCCAGAAGAAGCUUCAGAAAAUCCAUUGACCUUAACAGGCAUGGAGCCCACCGUGAAAACAUCAACUGUUUCUGUAUUUGCUAAUGUAGCUGCAGCAGAUGGCUUAGCUUCUACUAGCUUCGGAUCAAUUGUAAGGGACCCGAUCUUUAAAACAGAUGUCACACCAUUUGUGUCUUCAAAAGUGUUAAGCUUAGUACUGCCAUCUGUGCUACUUAAUGAGUUCGCAACAUCUUGUUCUAAAGGAACUUGCUCAUCGGUGGAUGUCCUUCCUAAAAUACUCGGAUGAACUUUCUCAUUGGUGUUGUCGAUUUCAUCUGAACUAAGAGGCUGAUGAGCAACACCAAUCGCUUUGUUCAGAGGAACAUAUGCAGGUAUAUAGAAGGAACCAUCAUAGCUUUUGCCAUGAAGCCUUGCUUUCUCUUCCUGCAGAAUCUUCUGCCUUCCUUCGUAGUACAUAAAAUCAUCAAGUAUAGAUGUCUUCAAUGUGUGGUUCUUAAAAAUCUUCAACAUCUCUGUGCCUUGCCUAUAUUUUAUCUGCAUAUUUCCAAUAACACAACUGUUAGCUCAACUUCUUUCUUCUGAUCAUAGCUUAAGACAAGAUGCAAUCACAAAUAUACAUCAACUCAGCAUAAUUUCAGACGAGCAUGUUACCCUUAAAACUUCAAAACAGUCUGAUAUAUUUUAAACAAGACAAAGGAGAUUGUGAGACAAAAGUGGUAGCGGCAGAAGCCAGACAUAAUGGGUAACACACUAACACCAGAGAUUCCCCAUAAACUUGUGUUGAUUGUGCACUGUUCAAAAAACUUAUUUGCAUAUACAACUAGUCUGGGUAGGUCAUAAAACUGUAUACAUGCGUGGAUCCAGGGAUGCAUUAAAAUUUAAAAGUAAUUAUCAACUCCUCAUAAAAGCACUACACUAAAAUAAUCUUUUGGUCAAAGGAAGAUUCCAGAUUCAUUCUAUGUUCAAUCUGUUAGUAGUCUGGGUAUGUAACCAAACUAUACAUCUAAUGAAAAUCUAUUUCAGCACUUUAUGAAAAGAGUGAUGAACAUCUUCUUAAUUGCCAUUUAUAAGAAAGUAACAUAGUAUUCUUGACAAUGUUUAUUUAAAUCAUAUGAAAUGGUGUUGUCUGUUAGAUAUCAACAAAAGAUCGGUCUUCAUCAACAGUUGGUGUGAAGCAACAUGGCAAGGUUGAUAAAUGAUCAUAUAGAGAUAACCACCUAUCAUGUUGUAUUCAGCUAUUACAGUCUUGAAUCAUAAUUUAGCAGUAGUAAAGUCAAUAGAAAACUUUCUUUUGUACUAAUAUAUUUAGCACCAACCUAAAUUUGCAAAAGUUUGCUAACAAAGGAACGAAAGAUUUGAGACCAUUUUUCGGUGCCAAUUUCAACACCAUACAAAUCACAACCAUUAUAUAUGUUUCAUGACUUCAUCUAAGAAGAAUAACAUGGCAAAGGACACAUUCUAGUGCAAUAGGGCUCCUGCACAUCAUCUUGUAUAUACACAAUUUCAUACAGUGGCAUACAAAUGCAUCUUGUCAACAAUACUCAUAAAUAACCAUGGUUGCACUUAGACUGUCAUUCAAAAAUCAGAAUUAUCUAUUAGAUUAAAUUUAAUGAAUCCACACAACAAGAUAUAUAGGUUAACUACAUGGAAAAGUCCUCCAAAAUCAUGCUCUCUCCAUAACAAUUUGAUUCUACAACAUUUAUGUCAGGCAUAUGAGCUUGAAAGCACAUACAGUUAAGAUAAAGUUAUAAUUACCUCUUGUGUAUCUCUGCUAUUAGUCACUGGUUUAUUCUCGUUGUUCUCUAGUAUGAUAUGACGGAAGUUAGUAUUUGGUACAUCUUUAAUUAUAUGCCACUUAACGGGGAAGCUUCCACUCCAUUUAUCCUGUUGCCAAAACUCCAUAUCCUUGUUGAAGUCAACUCGACCAACCAUCUCUGCAACACCACAGAACUGCCCACUUGCAUUAACCUGUUUUUAAAGACGAUUCCAUCAGCAACAGUCAGAAUGAAGGAAAGUGCAGUCCCAAAACUGACAAAUAAAACAUUUUUUCAUCUGCUCUUUGCCAGUAGUGUAAUCUAAAAAGCAACAUAAAACUUGAAAAGCAAGAAACUUACAGAAAAGAAAAGAAAUACAGGACAGCCUCUUGAAUUUCCCGACGCUAUUCUUUGUGCGUCUUCAUAAGCACUGUCCAACCUCUUGUUUCCAUUUGGGGUACUUGACCAUACAUUAUAUUUAAUGCUCUUAUGCACAUCAUCCUCGCUGUAAGAUUUGAUUACAAAGAACUUGCCAUUAGCAUAGCUAACUGAGAAAUCGUCCUUGUUAUAUUGAUCAGGAUUAAUAGUUAUCUUCCCAUUUGUAACAGUAGUCCCAACAUUGGUCGAUGGUGUCCAUUGACCUCUAGACCUGUUUGUCCUAGGCCCACGAUUUUGUUCACUAAGAAAAUCUGGAUUUCCAUUUCCAUUGUUUGAAACUCCACCAUAGUGAAACCUUGGCCUAAGCCUAUCAACCAUAGGCCACCCCCGAGCAUUUGUCCCAAUGUCAGAUGAAACAUUAGUAACAGGCAGAGAAACUUUUGCUGAAGCAGGAAGUGAGGGAACCUGUCCAAAUGUUAAUUGAUCUGCAGGUUGAACUGAUCCAGAAGCAUUUCUACCCUGCACAUAUAAUUAAAAAUUGUGGGAUAAGUUACUGACCCUUGAAUUCCAAAAAAAAUCUAUUAGGAAUGUCAACACAAUUAGGAAUCUGCAGUCGAUAUGUCUGCAUCAUAUCAUAAUAGCCUGUAAACAUGUUACAAGCUCCACCUCUCAAUAUUAAAAGUUCGCAAAUGACACGCCUCUAAACAUUCAGGGUAGAUUAUCUCUAAACAACCACCCUUAUAAACAUUAUUUCAUACUAUGCUCUUCCCAAAGUGCAGUAACUACCAAGUAAGAAACAUUCCUCAAUCCAAAAUGCUUGCCAACAAGAACGCAUAGCUUCUUUACGAUGACAAAAGAAAGACCAUUACACCUCAACUAAUCCGUUAUAACAUAUUAAAGCGAUUAAACAACUGGCUCAAUCAUAAUAAGAACAUGGAUACAGCAAGGAUUCGUGCAAAUCUAAAUCAUUGUUGCACUCCCUUCUUCCAAAGGACUGAAAGGAGAAAAGGAACACUGAUAUAUGAGCAUAAACAUACCUGAGCAACUGGAGCUGAUGCUGCACGAGAAACACUCACAGAAGCAGUACUUGUAUGGGUUGCGGGCUGCUUAUUAUUUGCCGAAUUAGCUUUGGAAACUUCAGAUCUUUUACCAGACGAAUGGGGCUGGUUAAAAUUCUUAUCAUUGUCACCCAGCGAAGCCCUUAGCGGGACCUUGCCUGAACCUCCAGAUGCUGAUUGAUGGUUAAAUUUUAAACCUGGGCCAUCAGUGCCAUUAACAUUUGGCACACCAGCAUUUAACAAAUGGGGUUCUUGUGCAUUGCUUGGAAUAUUUUCCGCCAUAGGCUGAACAAGAUACGGGUAAUAAGCAGGUGAGGCAGGGUUCUGAUAAGUUGAUCCUGUGUAGUAUUGUUGCAUUCCCACAAAUGAACCAUCAACUCCUAUGACAGCACCAGGUAUGUAUGGGUUAUAUGGAUUGUAUGGAGACUGUGCAUAUCCAUAGCUAGGUGUAUAAUAUACAUAAGGUAAAUUCUCUGUCUGUAAACCCUGAAACAGAAACAUGGACAAUAUGAACAUCAAGAAAUAUAAAAAUAUAAGCUAUUAUGAUGAAUAUAAAAACAUAUCAAAACCAACUUACAGCAUAUUGAAGAUUGGGAUUAUCUAACCCAAAAAACCUGUGGUUGUCAUCCCAUUCGCCAGUCGAUUCGAAUCCUGGAAAUACACAACAACAAACUAAUGAUUGGGCAGCCAUAAAAAGCGUCAAAAAGGAUGAAUUCAUUGAGAUGAACUCUAUAACUAACCUGUACAGUAGUAUCCAUAAUAAUUGUUGGCAGCAGGAUAAUACAGGCCCUGGUCAACAAUGAAUUCUGGAGAUCCUUCGCUACCCAUGACUUCCAAUUGCCCAAGAGAUGGAGUCGUAGCUAAAUGUGGGUUGGACUCGGAACCUUGAAUCUAAAAAUCAUGACAAGGAUAUCAGGUAAGUUCUCUACACCAACCUUAUCCAGGCCAAGACAUCUGAAGAAAUCUUUAAUAAUGAAAACAAAUGAAUUUCAAUUUAAGCAUGAUUAAGUAAACUAAAAAUCUAGUUUGUAGAAUAAGUUGAAAGAGGGUAAAACAGUAAAGAUGAAUCCUAAAUUCAGUAUAGUAUUAAAAACUAGAGUAGCCAGGUGCCAACAUGACAGGUAAUCAUAAUUUCAAAAAGAUUAAAGAUGACCAAUUGAUUGACUUCAUCAGCCAAAAACUAGAUGUCUGAAAUUUUAGUAGAUUACGAUUAUUUGAAUCUUUGCCCCCUCAAAUUCUUUGGCUUUACAAUUUCACAAGUGUGUUUGCAUAUCAUACUACACUCAUCAUCAUAAUUAAUUCAUGCAGGAUGAUUAGCACAAAGAAAAUUAUUCUUUAGUCACUGUGAUUUAUUACCAUGUAUAUUUCUGAAGUUCCAUGCUCAGAACCACUGUAGCUUUCCAUUGAGGGACUACCACCCUAUAGAAAAUGGAAUAGAGAUAAGAAGAAUAAAAAACCAUUUAAAGUCAUAACAAGAACACGAAAGAUAAAUAUUUACAUUUUUGCAGUAGAUAUACUAUAACAUGAAGAUAGUACUGUGAUAGUUGUCAGAUGAUGAUCAAGUCACCACCAAUUACAUUAAUGAAAUCACUGAUUGAGCUUAACAAAUUUUGUACAAAACAGUGUACACCACAUGUUACAAUUCCUUAUACAUAGCAAGCACAUUGAGAAUAUAUUGAUAACAAACCUGUAAACAUAAUCUUGAAUUAUCUAACAAUAAAGCUUCUGUAUAUGCAAUGAAUCUUAUAUAACUAAGCAACUCAGUCUAUAUUCUACUUAUAUCCUCUAUAAAGAGUAUAACUAACAAUAAAAGUUCAAACAGAAAAUUAUAGGAUAUAACCAUAGUUGAAAAAUGUUGAUUUUGUGCGGAUAUCCAAUUUCCGAAAAAACGGAUAUAUCCGAAAUUCGAAAACAAACUAUACAAUACAAUUCGUCCAAUAUCCGAUUUGAGAUUUUUUCACCUAAGGAUAUAACCCCAACCCCAAAUUUGACGUCAAAAAAAAUAUAAUAUUCAAUAUCUCCUAAUAAAAAAUCAUUAAGGGAGCCCUAAAUAUAUAUAAAUUUCAUGAAGUACCCAAUUCCUCUAUAGAGGAUGUGAGAAGUAUUUAAAAUCCAACUUAUUCUAAACUACGCUAAAUUUCUCACUAAACUAAUUUACAUAAACAUACCAAAUAAAAUCAAUAUAAUUGAAUCUUUGCUCAGUUUCCGCCACAAUUCAAUGUAAAUUAAAUUUAAAAAAAAAAAAUAUUCUUAAACCUUCUUACUUCAUAGAAACACAAGAGAACUAAAGCAAGUCAUGAAAUCAAUCAAUUUAAGUGUAAUUUAAUUCAUAAAAAAAGAAAGAAGAAUAAAGAAAGAGUUUAAAAAGAAUACAAACCCUAAUUCAAUAAUUUGCAUAAAUUGUUUGAAAAUGAUGAGGCAGGUUUCUGCAGCAUGUUUGAAGCAGAAACUCCUCUCAAAAACCCUAACCCUACAGAGCUUUUUGCCUUCUUCGUUCGACUCUUCGAAAAUGAAAAAAAAUGGCAAAUUCGAGAAGAGAGAGAGAGAGAGAGAGAGAGAGAGAGAGAGAGAGAUUCCUUCUUAAUGCAAAGCGUUUCGGGUGAGUUUUGUAGUUUCGUAUUUUAAAAUACCAAUACUAACCUUGAUUCGUAUAAUGAUAUACGAAACUACCACUUUGGAAGUUGGAAUGUUUUUUUUUUUGCUAAAAAUAGAAACAAUUAGACACGAAACUGAUUCAUUUGCUAUGACUCUUGCUAUUUACAGCCAAGAAUUUUUUUGUACUAUUCACCACCAAACUUAUUAAUCCAUGAACACCAAGAUGUUAUAGUGAUGAAUAGUAAAAUAUUUUGUAAAAGUGGCCAAUUUUUUUCAAAUAAAAUGCAUGGAUGUAAAUGUAACACUGUGGUUUCCAAGUACCAAAGUUAUUGUUGACAAUGGUGUGGUAGGAAGAAAAAGAAAGAAAAGGAUUAUUCCUUAUGUUUGUUAUAUACUACUAUGUAUUUAAGCAUAAGCUUUUUGGAAUUUUGGUUCAUGUUAGUAGUAAAAUGUGGAUCAACAUGUUUUUAAGAUUGAAAGUAAUCCUUUUUAUUAUGCUUUAUUUAUUCUCCAAAAACACUUUAAGCAAAGAAUUAUAUUCAUGUACCUUUGCUAGACAAUAAUUAUCCUAGUUGUAACUUUGCAUAUAAAUAUGUUUCUCUGCUUUUAGUUAUCAUGUAUACACUGUACAGCACCUUAGAAAUUAUAUGCACCAAUGACCCAUAUGUAUAACAUAGAUAAAUCACCUAUAGAGCAUGUUUAUCUUGCAGUUGGCUUGAGUCUGAUCCAUAAUUUAGUGAGUGAGUUCAACUAUAUCAACUUGUUGUACUGGGGAAUUUCACUAGAUGAUUGAGGUUUCUUGGUAGCACAUCGGUCGCUAAAAAUAAUCCAAUGCGUCGACUCUAACAAAAAUUUACCUCCUUAAUACAUGCUUCCUAUUAUUGUCUGUGAUGAAAUGCAGGGCCGAAUAAUUAUCUUCCCUAACCAAAUCUGCAGGCAGCAGACAUUCACACAAAAAUUUACCAUCGACAUCCUCAUUAUUGAAUAUGACCCAAGCUACAAAGGACUCUUACUUUGCUGAAGUUGCAAAUUUCUUUUGAUUAGUUCUCACUUUUGACUCUUAAUCCACAACACUUUACCUAAAGUUUCUCAUUUUGAUGCAUAUACCACGGUGAUUUUCACUUAAUCCCCAUAUACACAAUUGGCCAUUUUUUUUUCUCAGAAAGCUCAGAUGAUGCUAGUGCUGCAAGUAACACACAGCCUAAAAACACCUCCAUUAAACUCUUUGAUCUAAUAGACGGAGCCGUUUCUACAGCUAAACAUAUAGUUCGAAAGAGCUUGGCUCAAUUAUAGCUUUGAAAUUGCUUUAAAGCACCGAGGACAGUUAACCUUCCAUCUCUAGCUGGGAGUGCAUUGUGCCAAAAUGUAAAAUUCUGUCGAAAUAUUGUCUAUGGUGGUUACAUACUAACAUGCAAUAGCAAUCGCUGUUGAUAGAGAGAGAGAGAGAGAGAGAGAGAGAGAGAGAGAGAGAGAGAGAGAGAGAGAGAGAGAGAGAGAGAGAGAGAGAGAGAGAGAGAGAGAGAGAGAGAGAGAGAGAGAGAGAGAGAGAGAGAGAGAGAGAGAGAGAGAAAUGCAAUCACAGGGACGUGGAAAAUGUAAUCAGAGGUAGGGAUCCAUCCAUAUCGGCCAAAGUACUCCCAGAUUAUUAUAUACUGGCAUACAUAUAUUAAUACCAUACAGUUCAGUUGGCAGACCGUAUCAACAUUAUAGCCAAACCUGCUCAAUCAAGAAAAGAACAACUGAAUUGGCCUCCUAACAUGCAUAAUUUCUCUGCUUUAGUGACAGCAUCCAAAGGAAGGGGGAUGAAACUCCGAGAUGGGCCAUAGAAAUGAGGAAAAUAGUUGACCCCAUCAACAGCUUCAUAAAUCAAUCCAUUUCCAAGCUACACAAAG